AUGUUCACUUUAGCAGCACAUAUACUAAAUUAGAAUGAUACAGAGAAAAUUAGCAUGGCUUCUGCACAAGGGAGGACAUGCAAAUUUGUGAAGUAUUCAAAAAAUUA
rnacentral:snRNA from 1 species